AUGAACAGUGCAUUAAUCACAGUAUUUGGCUACAAAAUCCAAAAAUUCUGGGACAAGACACAAGACUAUCGCAGGAACUCAGAAAAUCUCUUAUAUAAGUUAUCAAUGAAGAAAUGGCCAGUAUACAGAUUUAGAAUAAGAGUUCCUCAUCCACAGAGAUUAACAAGUUUUCUUCCAGAGGGGAUGAUCCAAGAUCCAUCUUUAACUGCCUAUCAAUUCCUUCCAAGGUGUCGUAAAUUUCCCUUCGAGCAUCAUGUGCCUUGUCCUGUACCAAGAAUUCGUGGACACCACCAUCGACUUCAAUCCAACUACACCCUGGUUUUUUGA
rnacentral:rRNA from 1 species